AACGCUAGCUACAGGCUUAACACAUGCAAGUCGAGGGGAAACGAUAGAGAAAGCUUGCUUUUUCUAGGCGUCGACCGGCGCACGGGUGAGUAACGCGUAUCCAACCUGCCCACCACUUGGGGAUAACCUUGCGAAAGUAAGACUAAUACCCAAUGAUAUCUCUAGAAGACAUCUGAAUGAGAUUAUAGAUUUAUCGGUGAUGGAUGGGGAUGCGUCUGAUUAGCUUGUUGGCGGGGUAACGGCCCACCAAGGCUACGAUCAGUAGGGGUUCUGAGAGGAAGGUCCCCCACAUUGGAACUGAGACACGGUCCAAACUCCUACGGGAGGCAGCAGUGAGGAAUAUUGGUCAAUGGGCGAGAGCCUGAACCAGCCAAGUAGCGUGCAGGAUGACGGCCCUAUGGGUUGUAAACUGCUUUUAUAAGGGAAUAAAGUGAGCCUCGUGAGGCUUUUUGCAUGUACCUUAUGAAUAAGGACCGGCUAAUUCCGUGCCAGCAGCCGCGGUAAUACGGAAGGUCCGGGCGUUAUCCGGAUUUAUUGGGUUUAAAGGGAGCGUAGGCCGGAGAUUAAGCGUGUUGUGAAAUGUAGAUGCUCAACAUCUGCACUGCAGCGCGAACUGGUUUCCUUGAGUACGCACAAAGUGGGCGGAAUUCGUGGUGUAGCGGUGAAAUGCUUAGAUAUCACGAAGAACUCCGAUUG
rnacentral:rRNA from 1 species